rnacentral:rRNA from 1 species
UACGUAGGGGGGCUAGCGUUGUCCGGAAUCAUUGGGCGUAAAGAGCGUGUAGGCGGUCCGGUAAGUCCGCUGUGAAAGUCGGGGGGCUCAACCCUCGAAUGCCGGUGGAUACUGUCGGGCUAGAGUCCGGAAGAGGCGAGUGGAAUUCCUGGUGUAGCGGUGGAAUGCGCAGAUAUCAGGAGGAACACCAAUAGCGAAGGCAGCUCGCUGGGACGGUACUGACGCUGAGGUGCGAAAGCGUGGGGAGCAAACAGG